AGCAGUGUCCUUGUUGAGCCAUUGGCACCCUUGGCCCCAGGGGGCCCCCCCAAUCUGGACUCUGCCACUGGGGUCUCCUGAUUCUCCAUCAUGUCCUUCUCCUGGACUUUCUUCUGUAGUUCCUGGUUCUGUACAGAACAGGCAGCCACCCUAGGGGGUGCGGAGAGGUGGCACGAGGUUCUGCCAUCCCGCGUCCCUGGCCUGGCCCGCCUUGGUGAGGAAGCGGGCCCCAGGCUGGCCCGCAGGAAGCCAGAACCGGGAGCCCAACACACCUGCUCUCCAGUCCAUCGAUAUACUCCUUCUUCCGCCGCCGACUGUCCUGGGCCGACUGCUUGUUCCGGAUUUUCCUCCGGACCUUCUUGAGGACCCUCUCCUCUGCCUGGGGGCCCAGAGAACAAGGCUUGACAGGACAGCUGGCGGGGGACAGAAGAUGCGCGGGAAGAGGGUCAUCCCGUUUCCAGCACCCAGGUGCUCCCCCACAGGCCUUCUAGAGAGUGGGUCCCGUGUGCACUGAGGGGUACCUGACCAGGGCAUGAGGUGAGGGCAGGGACCUGGAUUCAGGCUCUGGGUCAUGCCACUGGGGCCUCUGGAGGCCGAGAGGGGAGAGAGGAACUGGUUUUGUCAUCUCCUUUGUCCAGACUCUGGACCUCAGCACCCUGAGCAAGCUAGAGAGGGCCCGUUCUGUCCCGCACGUCCCUGAACCUCAGGGGUAUCUGGAGGGACGUGGAGUAACUCGCUAAGGUACGGUUUGCUAAUCUCGCAGCAGGCAAUGGUUCACUUUGAGCCAUUUCUUUUGUUUGCAGAGCGUAGUAUCCAGUCACCUGUCACCCACAGCAAGCCACCUGGGACAGUGUCUCAUUCUCCCUGAGGGCAACCAGACUGAUCAACUUCUCCUAUGAAAAUAUGUGGGGAGGACAGAAAAGUGUCGUGUUCCCGUCAGCUGAGUGACUUGCCUUUCUAAUGGUGCUUUUUGGAAGAUUUGUUUCACUCGUGACUUCAGAAGAAUUUGCUUUUGAUUUUGCC